rnacentral:rRNA from 1 species
CCUACGGGAGGCAGCAGUGGGGAAUAUUGGACAAUGGGCGAAAGCCUGAUCCAGCAAUUCCGCGUGUGUGAAGAAGGCCUUCGGGUUGUAAAGCACUUUAGUGGGGGAAGAAACAGCUUGGCCACACCAAGUCUUGACGGUACCCCAAGAAUAAGCACCGGCUAACUCUGUGCCAGCAGCCGCGGUAAUACAGAGGGUGCAAGCGUUAAUCGGAUUUACUGGGCGUAAAGGGUGCGUAGGUGGCUAUUUAAGUCGGAUGUGAAAGCCCGGGGCUCAACCUCGGAAUUGCAUUCGAUACUGAGUGGCUAGAGUUCGGUAGAGGGCGGCGGAAUUUCCGGUGUAGCGGUGAAAUGCGUAGAUAUCGGAAGGAACAUCAAUGGCGAAGGCAGCCGCCUGGGCCUGGACUGACACUGAGGCACGAAAGCGUGGGUAGCAAACAGGAUUAGAUACCCUGGUAGUCCACGCCGUAAACGAUGAGAACUUGACGUUGGUUCGUUUUACGAGUACGUGGUUGUCGCGCGUACGUACGACGUAAGUUACGUUCCGUCCGUCCGGGUACGGGUACGGGUACCGGCCGGACGGUACGGUUAACGUAACCGUAACUAAGUAAGUAAGUUACGGUACGGUCGUAGGACGUACGUACCGACCGGACCGGACCGACCGACGGGAAGGGUUAAGGGUUAGG